rnacentral:rRNA from 1 species
AGAACGAACGCUGGCGGCAUGCCUAAUACAUGCAAGUCGAACGAACUCUUCGGAGUUAGUGGCGCACGGGUGCGUAACGCGUGGGAAUCUGCCCUUGGGUUCGGAAUAACAGUUGGAAACGACUGCUAAUACCGGAUGAUGACGAAAGUCCAAAGAUUUAUCGCCCAGGGAUGAGCCCGCGUAGGAUUAGCUAGUUGGUGAGGUAAAGGCUCACCAAGGCGACGAUCCUUAGCUGGUCUGAGAGGAUGAUCAGCCACACUGGGACUGAGACACGGCCCAGACUCCUACGGGAGGCAGCAGUAGGGAAUAUGGACAAUGGGCGAAAGCCUGAUCCAGCGAUGCCGCGUGAGUGAUGAAGGCCUUAGGUUGUAAAGCUCUUUACCCGAGAUGACAAUGACAGUAUCGGAGAAUAAGCCCCGGCUAACUCCGCGCCAGCAGCCGC